rnacentral:rRNA from 1 species
GACGAACGCUGGCGGCGCGCCUAACACAUGCAAGUCGAACGGAGCGCACGAGAAGAAUUCCUUCGGGGACGAUUUUUGUGUUGCUUAGUGGCGAACGGGUGAGUAACACGUGAGCAACCUGCCCAGUAGUGGGGGACAACAUUUGGAAACAGAUGCUAAUACCGCAUAAGACCGCGAAACCGCAUGGUUUUGUGGCCAAAGGAGCAAUUCGCUAUUGGAGGGGCUCGCGCCCGAUUAGAUAGUUGGUGAGGUAACGGCUCACCAAGUCGACGAUCGGUAGCCGGACUGAGAGGUUGAACGGCCACAUUGGGACUGAGACACGGCCCAGACUCCUACGGGAGGCAGCAGUGGGGAAUAUUGCACAAUGGGCGAAAGCCUGAUGCAGCGACGCCGCGUGAGGGAAGAAGGUUUUCGGAUUGUAAACCUCUGUCUUCGAGGACGAAGAAGUGACGGUACUCGAGGAGGAAGCCACGGCUAACUACGUGCCAGCAGCCGCAGUAAAAC